rnacentral:rRNA from 1 species
GGGCGUAAGCGUGCGCAGGCGGUUUGUUAAGCCAGAUGUGAAAUCCCCGGGCUCAACCUGGGAAUUGCAUUUGGAACUGGCGAACUAGAGUCUUGUAGAGGGGGGUAGAAUUCCAGGUGUAGCGGUGAAAUGCGUAGAGAUCUGGAGGAAUACCGGUGGCGAAGGCGGCCCCCUGGACAAAGACUGACGCUCAUGCACGAAAGCGUGGGGAGCAAACAGGAUUAGAUACCCUGGUAGUCCACGCCGUAAACGAUGUCUACUCGGAGUUUGGUGCCUUGAGCACUGGGCUCUCAAGCUAACGCAUUAAGUAGACCGCCUGGGGAGUACGGCCGCAAGGUUAAAACUCAAAUGAAUUGACGGGGGCCCGCACAAGCGGUGGAGCAUGUGGUUUAAUUCGAUGCAACGCGAAGAACCUUACCUACUCUUGACAUCCACAGAA